CGAGCAGAAAAGAUGAUUGCAGGCUUUAAAGCGUGAGGAAAGUCCGAGCUCCGCAGGGCAGGAUGCCGGAUAACGUCCGGCGAGGGUGACCUCAGGGAAAGUGCCAUAGAAAAGGAAACCGCCGUUUUACGGUAAGGGUGGAAAGGUACGGUAAGAGCGUACCGGCAACUUGAGUAAUCAGUUGGCCUGGUAAACCCCAUCCGGAGCAAGACCGAAUAGGGAAGGGUUGAAGUUGCCCGCUGACCUUCCGGGUUGUGUCGCUCGAUCUGUAGAGCAAUCUGCAGACUAGAUAGAUAAUCAUCACCGUUUUACGGUACAGAACUCGGCUUAUUGAAUGCUCGCUUG
rfam:Dialister micraerophilus DSM 19965 genomic scaffold SCAFFOLD1, whole genome shotgun sequence.